rnacentral:rRNA from 1 species
ACACAUGCAAGUCGAACGGGGUGCGUUUGAAUGAAGUUUUCGGAUGGAAUUUGGACGUACCUAGUGGCGAACGGGUGAGUAACACGUGAAUAACCUGCCCUGGAGUGGGGGACAACAGUUGGAAACGACUGCUAAUACCGCAUAAGCCCACAGAGCCGCAUGGCUCAGGGGGAAAAGGAGCAAUUCGCUUCAGGAUGGAUUCGCGUCCAAUUAGCUAGAUGGUGAGGUAACGGCCCACCAUGGCAACGAUUGGUAGCCGGACUGAGAGGUUGAUCGGCCACAUUGGGACUGAGACACGGCCCAGACUCCUACGGGAGGCAGCAGUGGGGAAUAUUGCACAAUGGGGGAAACCCUGAUGCAGCGACGCCGCGUGGAGGAAGAAGGUCUUCGGAUUGUAAACUCCUGUCGUUGGGGACGAUAAUGACGGUACCCAACAAGAAAGCCACGGCUAACUACGUGCCAGCAGCCGCGGUAAAACGUAGGUGGCAAGCGUUGUCCGGAAUUACUGGGUGUAAAGGGAGCGCAGGCGGAAGGACAAGUUGGAAGUGAAACCCACGGGCUCAACCCGUGAACUGCUUUCAAAACUGUUUUUCUUGAGUGGUGUAGAGGUAGGCGGAAUUCCCGGUGUAGCGGUGGAAUGCGUAGAUAUCGGGAGGAACACCAGUGGCGAAGGCGGCCUACUGGGCACUAACUGACGCUGAGGCUCGAAAGCAUGGGUAGCAAACAGGAUUAGAUACCCUGGUAGUCCAUGCCGUAAACGAUGAUUACUAGGUGUGGGAGGAUUGACCCCUUCCGUGCCGCAGUUAACACAAUAAGUAAUCCACCUGGGGAGUACGACCGCAAGGUUGAAACUC